rnacentral:rRNA from 1 species
UAGUCCACGCCGUAAACGAUGGUCACUCGAUGUAUGCAUCUCGCAUGCAUGCGUCCAAGCGAAAGCGUUAAGUGACCCACCUGGGGAGUACGCUCGCAAGAGUGAAACUUAAAGGAAUUGACGGGGGUCCGCACGAGCGGUGGAACAUGUGGUUUAAUUCGAUACUACGCGAAGAACCUUACCUAGGUUAAAUGUCUAUUGCUACACUCAGAAAAGAGUGGUUCCGCAAGGACGAUAGACAAGGUGCUGCAUGGCUGUCGUCAGCUCGUGCCGUGAGGUGUUGGGUUAAGUCCUCUAACGAGCGCAACCCCUAUGUUUAGUUGCCAGCAUGUAAUGAUGGGGACUCUAAGCAGACUGCCUGCGAAAGCAGUGAGGAAGGAGGGGACGAAGUCAAGUCAUCAUGGCUCUUACGCCUAGGGCUACACACGUGUUACAAUGGCGUGUACAGCGGGCUGCUACCUGGUAACAGGAUGCUAAUCCCUAAAAGCACGUCUC